UACGAAGGGGGCUAGCGUUGUUCGGAAUCACUGGGCGUAAAGCGCACGCAGGCGGAUCGUUAAGUCAGGGGUGAAAUCCCGAGGCUCAACCUCGGAACUGCCUUUGAUACUGGCGAUCUUUGAGUCCGGGAGAGGUGAGUGGAACUCCGAGUGUAGAGGUGAAAUUCGUAGAUAUUCGGAAGAACACCCGUGGCGAAGGCGGCUCUCUGGUACGUGACUGACGCUGAGACGCGAAAGCGUGGGGAGCAAACAGGG
rnacentral:rRNA from 1 species